rnacentral:misc_RNA from 1 species
GAUGAAGAACGCAGCGAAAUGCGAUAAGUAAUGUGAAUUGCAGAAUUCAGUGAAUCAUCGAAUCUUUGAACGCACAUUGCGCCCGCCAGUAUUCUGGCGGGCAUGCCUGUUCGAGCGUCAUUUCAACCAUCAAGCCCCCGGCUUGUGUUGGGGACCUGCGGCUGCCGCAGGUCCUGAAAAGCAGUGGCGGGCUCGCUGUCACACCGAGCGUAGUAGCAUACAUCUCGCUCUGGGCGUGCUGCGGGUUCCGGCCGUUAAACCACCUUCAUAACCCAAGGUUGACCUCGGAUCAGGUAGGAAGACCCGCUGAACUUAAGCAUAUCAAUAAGCGGAGGA